rnacentral:misc_RNA from 1 species
UCACUUGCCCACCGAAUCGAAUAUGAUGCGGUUCUGCUCUGCGCGCUCGCGCUGGCUCUGUGUCCGAGCUAGCUCUAGCAGGGUCCGCAGCAGGUGGAAGGUGAGGUCGAUGGACAACGGCGGGUCGUCUCGUCGUUGCCGCUCGCCUGCAGGCUCAGAUCCCGCGCGGCGCGGGAAGCGCUCCGCUAACAGCAAGAGGAGUGCGCGGACACCUCCGCCCUGAUUCCGCACUCCGGGGUUCCAUCGCAGAUUCGGAUCCUGGACCACAUUCGCCGCCGCAGCCGCUGGGCUCCACUGGCUGCUCUCCGGGCGCAGCUGAACCAGAAGCAGCAACGCUACCAGGAGCGUAGCGCGUCCCCUCUGCCUCAUGGUGCCGCCUGCCAUCGCAGAUUCGGAUCCUGGAUCCAGGAUCCGAAUCUGCGAUCUGGACACACAGGGGCAGCAUAGGGUGAGAUGCACUUGGAGCAGUCACAGGUGACACGAGCCCCUUCGCGCACACGCCCAAUGUCCCCGCUAGGACCCUCCAGCUGUUGCCUGGUGUCCACAACCUGCCCACCAGCCCAAGGCGCUGUGCCACUCCAGUUCCACCCCUCCCUCCUUUCCCUCCGGGCAGGUCAAAGUGGGUGGGCUUAGUGCAGAGUCCUGGCGGUAAGGGAGUCUGGAUCGUUUGCUCCAAGCCACUCACAGGUUAUCGGAGUGUCUAUCCAGUGCAAGAUGGAGGCAAGAUGGAGCUCCAGUCUCUGUCCCCGGGGACGGGUUGAAGACGCCUUGGGGAGCACGGGGUCGGUCCCGGGACCGCCGCCAGCCUUAUAUAGCAC